CCUCCUUCCCUGUCCGCGACCUGGCUUCUCAACUGACCGUGCGGAUCGCGCGUCCGCCAACAAACUCCAGCUGGAGAUUGUGGACCGACGUCCCUGGGCCAUAAAAACUAUGCACAAGACCUUCUAUCCUCUCCCUUCGUCGUUCCUCAACCGUUAAUUUCUAGAGAGAGAUAGGGCAUCGUUGUGCCAGGGACUCGGCGGCGGCUCCGCCUGGGGCUCUCGGCUACCUGCUCUUGGCUACCUGCCCUGCCCUGGUGGUGCGAUCGAGCGAAGUCGCAGCGGCGCUGGGUACCAGUACGGUGCAUCCGCGGACGUUGAGGACCGACAGGAUCUCGUGAAUUCCUCAUCGGAGUUCUUCCCUCGUCGCGAGUCGACCCUCAUCGUGGACAGCUCGCUCGCGCGCCCGAUCCUCGUGAGGUCAUGAGGAUUUGAAGAAUCAUCCUGGUACCUAGAAUCUCAAGUG